rnacentral:rRNA from 1 species
CAUUGGCUCAACCAANGUAUGCUUUGGAAACUGUUAGACUUGAGUGCAGAAGGGGAGAGUGGAAUUCCAUGUGUAGCGGUGAAAUGCGUAGAUAUAUGGAGGAACACCGGUGGCGAAAGCGGCUCUCUGGUCUGUCACUGACGCUGAGGCUCGAAAGCGUGGGUAGCGANCAGGAUUAGAUACCCUGGUAGUNCACGCCGUAAACGCUGAGUGCUAGGUGUUAGGUCCUUUCCGGGACUUAGUGCCGACGCUAACGCAUUAAGCACUCCGCCUGGGGAGUACGACCGCAAGGUUGAAACUCAAAGGAAUUGACGGGGGCCCGCACAAGCGGUGGAGCAUGUGGUUUAAUUCGAAGCAACGCGAAGAACCUUACCAGGUCUUGACAUCCCGAUGCCCGCUCUAGAGAUAGAGUUUUUCUUCGGUACAUCGGAGACAGGUGGUGCAUGGUUGUCGUCAGCUCGUGUCGUGAGAUGUUGGGUUAAGUCCCGCAACGAGCGCAACCCUUAUUGUUAGUUGCCAUCAUUAAGUUGGGCACUCUAGCGAGACUGCCGGUAAUAAACCGGAGGAAGGUGGGGAUGACGUCAAAUCAUCAUGCCCCUUAUGACCUGGGCUACACACGUGCUACAAUGGUUGGUACAACGAGUCGCAAGCCGGUGACGGCAAGCUAAUCUCUGAAAGCCAAUCUCAGUUCGGAUUGUAGGCUGCAACUCGCCUACAUGAAGUCGGAAUCGCUAGUAAUCGCGGAUCAGCACGCCGCGGUGAAUACGUUCCCGGGCCUUGUACACACCGCCCGUCACACCACGAGAGUUUGUAACACCCAAAGUCGGUGAGGUAACCAUUUAUGGGGCCAGCCG